UUUCUGAAGGGUUUGAUCCUGGCUCAGAGUGAACGCUGGCGGCGUGGAUUAGGCAUGCAAGUCGAGGGACGAAGUCCCCGCAAGGGGACGGAAACCGGCGAACGGGCGAGUAAUGCACACUCAAUCUGCCCUGAGGACGGGGAUAGCCCUGGGAAACUGGGGGUAAUACCCGAUAGGCUCACGAGAAGGCAUCUUUUCGGGAGUAAACGGUAGCAGGUUUCCUGCCUCUGCCUCAGGAGGAGAGUGUGUCCCAUCAGGUAGUUGGUGAGGUAACGGCUCACCAAGCCGACGACGGGUAGGUGGCCUGAGAGGGUGGUCACCCGCAUCGGGACUGAGACACUGCCCGGACUCCUACGGGAGGCUGCAGUCGAGAAUCUUCCGCAAUGCGCGCAAGCGUGACGGAGCGACGCCGCGUGCGGGAAGAAGGCCUUCGGGUCGUAAACCGCUGUCAGGGAAUACGAAAGAUGUUACGGUGAAUAGCCGUAGCAUUUGACUUCAAUCCCAGAGGAAGCCACGGCUAACUUCGUGCCAGCAGCCGCGGUAAGACGAAGGUGGCGAGCGUUACUCGGUGUUACUGGGCUUAAAACGUCCGUAGGCGGCUUGGUAAGUCGGAAGUUAAAGCCUCUGGCUCAACCAGAGACCUGCUUCCGAUACUGCCAAGCUCGAGGGAGAGAGAGGCCAGUGGAAUUCCCGGUGUAGCGGUGAAAUGCGUUGAUAUCGGGAGGAACGCCAAUGGCGAAAGCAACUGGCUGGCUUAUCCCUGACGCUGAUGGACGAAAGCUAGGGGAGCGAACCGGAUUAGAUACCCGGGUAGUCCUAGCCGUAAACGGUGGGCACUAGGUGUGGGAACUGCUGAUGGUUACCGUGCCGCAGCGAAAGCGUUAAGUGCCCUGCCUGGGGAGUACGGCCGCAAGGUUGAAACUCAAAGGAAUUGGCGGGGGCCCACACAAGCGGUGGAGGAUGUUGCUUAAUUCGAAGCAACGCGAAGAACCUUACCCAGGCUUGACAUGCAGGAUGUAGGGCUCUGAAAGGAGUCUCCAACGGUAUCCAAUCCGUAACCUGCACAGGUGUUGCAUGGCUGUCGUCAGCUCGUGUCGUGAGAUGUUGGGUUAAGUCCUAUAACGAGCGAAACCCUUACCCUCAGUUGCCAUCAGAUUACGCUGGGCACUCUGCGGGGACUGCCCGCGUUAAGCGGGAGGAAGGUGGGGACGACGUCAAGUCAUCAUGGCCCUUAAGCCUGGGGCUGCAAACGUCCUACAAUGGCCGGUACAAAGGGAAGCGAAACCGUGAGGCGGAGCAAAUCCCCGAAAACCGGCCCCAGUUCAGAUUGCAGGCUGAAACCCGCCUGCAUGAAGUCGGAAUCGCUAGUAAUCGCGGAUCAGAAUGCCGCGGUGAAUAUGUUCCUGGGCCUUGCACACACCGCCCGUCAACUCAUCAAAGUUGGGAGUACCCGAAGUCGCUGUUCCAACCGCAAGGGGGAAGGCGCCGAAGGUAAACCUGAUGAUGAGGAGUAAGUCGUAACAAGGUAGCCGUACGGGAACGUGCGGCUGGAUCACCUCCUUUC
rnacentral:rRNA from 1 species